GCGGUCGUGUAAAUUCACUUUACACAGAGAGUUAUUUUCAAAUUCAAACUUAAUGGUUUCUCCUUCGGUCUUUCUUUCAAGAUAAUCUUAAAUCAUUCUUGUUACUACGGAAUUUCCAUUAGAAUCUCUUUGGGGGUCGGUUACCAGAUGACCUUGGAUCCAAAGAACGCCCUGUUCCAACGUCAACAGAUCACAAACGUGCUCUCUCUUCGUACGGAAUCGAAAGUAUUUGGGUCAGUUCGAGCAUGCGACCGAGAUUUAUUCGUCGUCACGAAUUCUGCCAUUGAUGUCGAUAAUAAUUUCAAUAUUUCAAUAUAUUACCACAAUUCAUACAUUAUCAUAUAUAAAUGUAUUUCGUCAAUGAGAAAUCAUUUCUUAUGAUGCUACUAUGUUAAAUCUACGUACGAGAAUCUUACCUUUGUCAGCUUGUUACUGUAAUCAUUUCGUAAUUAUCUUUGUAACAAGUAUAAAUCCAUGUGUGUAUGUAUGUAUUUAUGUGUACAUAUAUGUGUACAUAUAUGUAUACAUAAAAUGUUCCUAAGAGAAUCGAAAGUAUACAUUUUAAGUAAAUAUUGUCCUAUUUUCUAAGUAUUCUAUUUUUCAAUGCAUUCAAACAGGUUGAACAAUCUUCUCAAUUUAUCAGAACCUCCUCAAUUUAUCGUCUUGAUGUUAACAUAUAAUGAUCAAUCAAAUUUUAUCUCUUUUCAUCGUUUUAAGAAAGUAUAAUCUAUUAUCUUAAUAUCCACAUAUACUCACACAUUCAAUAAAUUCAUUACGUGCACGCAUAUACAAGUACACAUGCACACAGGCGUAAAAGAGUUAACGGGUAAUGUGUUAUAUCUAAAUGAAAAUAUCUACGACGAUAUUAUUGCGGACGAGUGUAUUGCAAUUCGUAAGGUACAAAUAGUACAAAGGGUAUAAGAGUACAAAUAUUGCGUUAGGAACUAGAGUAUGCGGACAUAGAAAAAGUACAGUAGUUUAGAGACGUGACAUAUAAAGAGAUAUCUUGCUUUUUUUUUUUUUUUUACUUUUUUUUUUGCUUUUUUCUUUUCCUUUUUUUUUCUUUUCUUCCUUUUUUUCCUUUUUUCUUUAUUAUUAUUAUUUGCCACCCCCCCUCCCCCGUGUAUUCCUUCAUUCUUUUACUAUAUCGAUCGGGAUGAGAGUAAAGUCCGAAACAAUUCGUGACUUCCUCUGCGUUUUAUGUAAUAUCAUCAUAAUGAAAGACUCGCGCCGAGACCUCAUCAAUGUUCUCAAGGAACAGGUAGGAGUAGAAUGCAUCGAGAAUGUGCAUCGAGAAUGUGCAUCGAGAAUGUGCAUCGAGAAUGUACAUCGAGAAUAAGCGAGAAAGAAAAAGGGAAAGAGAAAGAAAUAAAAAGAGAGAGAGAGAGAGAGAGAGAGAGAGAGAAGACAAAGAAAGAUAGACAAAGAGAGAAAGAGAAAAGGACUAGAUUAAAAUGAGAAAAUUUAUACUCCGACUCUUUGAGAGAUACGAACUACAAAUUAGAGGCAACGAGAACGACGAAAUAUUAAGAAAAAUGAUGGAUCUCGUCGCGAGUCCCGACGAUUUCAAUAAACGUAACGUUUUCGCGCGUUAAAUCUUAUGUCUGUCGUUAUAAUAAAUAUUAUAAUAGAACAACGCAAUAAUAAAUAUAUAUAUAUAUAGAGAUUUAUAUUUUGUAUAUAUAUAUAUGUAUCAUAUAUAUAUAUAUAUUAUAGGAAGAGAAACAUGUCGACACAACUAGUCUAAACACCGAGAGGAUCCUUUCCGUAUUUACAAUUGUCUUAGACUAGUCUAAUAAUAUAUAUAUUACAAAAUUCGAUCUCGUUCGAUCCAACCGAUUAAUUAACUAUAUGUAUGUAUAUCGUCAUUGCGAUAAACUGUACGUUAUUAAAGCGUCUAGCACGAAACACGCAUUAACUAUAUAAAUGCUUCUUAUUAUUACUAUAAUCUACGACUUUCUACUUUUUCUCUUAUCUUCCUUUGCCACUCUGCACACAGAUACACACACACACAUGAAUUAUUCUUAUACGCGUUCGCUCAACGAACACACAUACAAAUGAACUCGUACAUUCUCUCUCUCUUUCUCUCUCUCUCUCUCUCUCUCUCUCUCUCUCUCUCUUUCUCUCUUUCUUUUUCUUU